GAACUAUAAUUUCAAAAUCAUUGAUGCAAUUGAUCUCCAGGGUUGAUUUGGCUGAUCUGGCUGGCUAGGCGGGUGUCCCCCUCCUCCCUCACCGAUCCAUGUGCGUCCCUCCCGAAGCUGUGCGCUCGGUCGAAGAGGACGAGACCUUCCCCCCCACCAAGGAGAGGACUGGUCUUCGGUCAAGGGUAUACGAGUAGCUGCGCUCCCCUGCUAGAACCUCCAAACAAGCUCUCAAAAUCAUUGAUGUAAUAAAUCUAAUAUUUUUUAAGCAAUAAGAUAAUUGAUAU
rnacentral:snRNA from 1 species